rnacentral:rRNA from 1 species
CAAUGGGCCGAAGCCUGACGGAGCAACCCCCGCUGAGUGAUGAAGGUCUUCGGAUCGUAAAACUCUGUUAUUAGGGGAGAACAAACGUUUAAAUAACUGUGCACGUCUUGACCGUACCCAAUCAGAAAGCCACGGCUAACUACGUGCCAGCAGCCGCGGUAAUACGUAGGUGGCAAGCGUUAUCCGGAAUUAUU